rnacentral:rRNA from 1 species
CCUACGGGUGGCAGCAGUGGGGAAUAUUGGACAAUGGGGGGAACCCUGAUCCAGCCAUGCCGCGUGUGUGAAGAAGGCCCUCGGGUUGUAAAGCACUUUCAGUGAGGAAGAACGCCUGGUGGUUAAUACCCAUCAGGAAAGACAUCACUCACAGAAGAAGCACCGGCUAACUCCGUGCCAGCAGCCGCGGUAAUACGGAGGGUGCGAGCGUUAAUCGGAAUUACUGGGCGUAAAGCGCGCGUAGGUGGCUUGAUAAGCCGGUUGUGAAAGCCCCGGGCUCAACCUGGGAACGGCAUCCGGAACUGUCAAGCUAGAGUGCAGGAGAGGAAGGUAGAAUUCCCGGUGUAGCGGUGAAAUGCGUAGAGAUCCGGAGGAAUACCAGUGGCGAAGGCGGCCUUCUGGACUGACACUGACACUGAGGUGCGAAAGCGUGGGGAGCAAACAGGAUUAGAUACCCCAGUAGUC